CUGCGUGUUCGAUGAUUGAGAAGAUUGGCUGAACCAAAAAAAGAAAAGAAAGGUACGUGGUCUUGUAAAUAUGUCUUCACGUGUAUAUCUGUCUGCAUUGGAGCAGCUUGACUUGAAAAGAAAGUGGUUCGUGUAUUAAAUGAUCAGUCAUCAGAAUGUUUGCAUGGCUUGAAUUUUACCUUUUUUCUUUUUCUUGUAACACGCAGAUGCCCAAUAUCCGGGAGUUGAGGAAGAAAGGGCCUAAAAAGGUCAAAUGGACGCUGGACGCCAUGGUUCGUGCCGUCCAGGAGGUGAAGGAAGGCAGGCAAACCGCAAGAAAGGCAGCCAGGAAUUUUGACGUCCCAAAGUCCAGCCUGGCGGACCGACUCUCUGGACGCGUAGCCGUCGACUGCGUGCACGGCCAAAAACCGCUUCUCACCUCCGAGGACGAGAGUUCGCUGUUGGAGUAUUGCUUGUACUCUGCCAGUCAGGGAUGUCCUCAGAGAAAGCAUCAGGUCAUAACCAACGCUCUGGCAAUUUAUAAUUAUCGUAAUCCGCACCAACCCAGGACCGUUCUAGGCCAAACCUGGUGGAUUAACUUUAUGGAGCGGCACCGGCAUCGCAUUACCUCCCAGAAUAUGCGCUCCUACCUUUUGGAAUCUCAUACAAAAUCACACACAAAAAGGGGUUCGGUCAAGUUCCAACCGCCCGAGAGUUUGCCUCCCUCCUCCGAUCCCUACCUGGCCCAUCCCCUGGUAGCGUCGGGCCUCGUGACAGCGGAACUGGCCCGCGUCUUGUCCAAAACCAACGAAACCUGCGACGCCCAAAGUGACAGGAGAAGCUUCCAGGUGCUGACAGCGAGGGAGAUGUCAGAUGUCCUGCAGAAGGUGGAGGACAGCGCAGCAAGAGCGGAGGCCAGAAGUGCGACGCGACGGGGAGAGGAAGACACGGACCUGGCGGUCUCCUCCUCCACCUUUCCCGGGGGCUCUUGUCUCGGCGGCAAAAGACAACGGCCCCGCAAGGUCCGUUCAGAUGCUACAAGUCCUGGUGCCGCGGGUCCUCCAGGCCCGUGUGAUCCCACUUCUGCAUCCCAACGCGCCUCAACCAACAUGAGCUUGUCUUCCAAUAAAAUUGACGACGCUUCCAACCUUUGGCGGACCUCCUUCAUGGCUGUAGCUCCCUCGUCUCCUGCCUCCCUUUCCUCAACUGGUGAACCUAAAACCUCCACCGUAGCCUACCAAGCUGCUAAGAAGGAACGGUUGGAAAAGAAGCUGUUGCGAUGUGGACGGUGCAGACAGCCUUACCCUCCAAAGGAUCCAGAAGGGUGUCGACGGACGCUGAAGUCGCGGCCCCUUCGUGGACUGAACACCUCCAGUUAUCAGCAAAGACGAAGCUCCACAACCGCCGCGCGUGCGGUGUGCACGCUGCACGCUGCACGCUGCACGCAGGAGUCCGCUGCAAGGUUGCAUCUGCAAGUCGUGCGAGUGGAGGAUUGUGUGUGCGUCUCCUUUCCUGCCUGUGAGGGUGCAUGUGUGUCACCAUGA
ensembl:lncRNA